CUUAGAGAUGCCUUUACAUCGAGCUCCGAAUUUGAUCUAAUCAACUCCAGAUCUAUUGGUUUGUGUCAGAGUCGGUUCCUCUACCUAUCAAGUUUCAUCAAGUUUGCUCUUAAUGGUAUCAGUUCCUUCAUUAAGGAACUUCUUUUUCAAAAAAAAAAUCUUAAGAUUCAUGAUAUCCAUCAAGAAGGUAGAAGAAAUAUCUUUAAUAUAAUAUUUAUCAGACCAUGAUCCAAGUGAGUCAGUU
rnacentral:lncRNA from 1 species